GAUGAACGCUGGCGGCGUGCCUAAUACAUGCAAGUCGAGCGAAUGGAUUAAGAGCUUGCUCUUAUGAAGUUAGCGGCGGACGGGUGAGUAACACGUGGGUAACCUGCCCAUAAGACUGGGAUAACUCCGGGAAACCGGGGCUAAUACCGGAUAACAUUUUGAACCGCAUGGUUCGAAAUUGAAAGGCGGCUUCGGCUGUCACUUAUGGAUGGACCCGCGUCGCAUUAGCUAGUUGGUGAGGUAACGGCUCACCAAGGCAACGAUGCGUAGCCGACCGGAGAGGGUGAUAGGCCACACUGGGACUGAGACACGGCCCAGACUCCUACGGGAGGCAGCAGUAGGGAAUCGUCCGCAAUGGACGAAAGUCUGACGGAGCAACGCCGCGUGAGUGAUGAAGGCUUUCGGGUCGUAAAACUCUGUUGUUAGGGAAGAACAAGUGCUAGUUGAAUAAGCUGGCACCUUGACGGUACCUAACCAGAAAGCCACGGCUAACUACGUGCCAGCCGCCGCGGUAA
rnacentral:rRNA from 1 species